AUUGAACGCUGGCGGCAUGCCUAACACAUGCAAGUCGAACGGUAACAGGCCUUCGGGCGCUGACGAGUGGCGGACGGGUGAGUAACGCGUGGGAAUCUGCCUAGUAGUGGGGGACAACCUGGGGAAACUCAGGCUAAUACCGCAUACGCCCUACGGGGGAAAGCAGGGGAUCUUCGGACCUUGCACUAUUGGAUGAGCCUAUGCCUGAUUAGCUUGUUGGUGGGGUAACGGCCUACCAAAGCGACGAUCAGUAGCUGGUCUGAGAGGACGAUCAGCCACACUGGGACUGAGACACGGCCCAGACUCCUACGGGAGGCAGCAGUGGGGAAUAUUGCACAAUGGGCGCAAGCCUGAUGCAGCCAUGCCGCGUGUGUGAAGAAGGCCUUAGGGUUGUAAAGCACUUUCAGCAGUGAGGAAAGGGGUGUCGUUAAUAGCGCCAUCCUGUGACGUUAACUGCAGAAGAAGGACCGGCUAACUCCGUG
rnacentral:rRNA from 1 species